GAAAUAUUUUAGGAGCAGCUUGUUACAUGAUAUUUCACUAAAAAUAAUACAAGUCAAGUUAUUGGCAAAAGAGUUAGCCUUGGAGAAACAGUUGUUCAGAACCUGGAAAGCGGUGUGGUAGAUCUGUCCCGGCUUUUCAAACAGGAUAAAUCUCUGAGACUUUGUGUCUGGUUGUGAGGGUGUCCAGACUAAUAGAGAUGAAUGAUCAUGCGACUCCUCAGUGGGCUCAGCUGCCUUGAAAGGGUGAGGCCUUGCCGGACAAACAUUUUGGGACAAAUGGGUCUUAUGGAUUUGUGGAAGUGAUAUGGCCACUUUACCAAUUUACUCUCCUCUGCUGAUUUAAAAGUUUGACCUCCUCAAGCCUCUGUUCUCUCCUCCUGUUAUUCUACAUCUCUCUUACUCGCCCACACCCAUUCGAUUCCUGCGUACUGUCUAGAAGCCUAGCGGUUCAGCAUGUGGACUCUGGAGCCAGACUCUCCGGGUUUGAAUCCUGGCUCUGUACUCCUACCCGGGUGAUUUUAAGAAUUCUGGGCCUCAGCUUUCUUGUAGGUAAGUAAGUCUAACAACUGUACUUGCCUCAGAGGGUUGU
rnacentral:lncRNA from 10 species